rnacentral:rRNA from 1 species
UACAGAGGGUGCGAGCGUUGUUCGGAAUCAUUGGGCGUAAAGCGCUUGUAGGCGGCUUGUUAAGUCGCGUGUGAAAUCCCUUGGCUCAACCAAGGAAGUGCGCGCGAAACUGGCGAGCUCGAGUGCCGGAGAGGGUCGCGGAAUUCCCGGUGUAGAGGUGAAAUUCGUAGAUAUCGGGAGGAACACCAGUGGCGAAGGCGGCGACCUGGACGGACACUGACGCUGAGACGCGAAAGCGUGGGGGAGCAAACAGG